rnacentral:rRNA from 1 species
GAUGAACGCUGGCGGCGUGCCUAAUACAUGCAAGUCGAGCGAACAGAUGAGGAGCUUGCUCCUCUGACGUUAGCGGCGGACGGGUGAGUAACACGUGGAUAACCUACCUAUAAGACUGGGAUAACUUCGGGAAACCGGAGCUAAUACCGGAUAAUAUAUUGAACCGCAUGGUUCAAUAGUGAAAGACGGUUUUGCUGUCACUUAUAGAUGGAUCCGCGCCGCAUUAGCUAGUUGGUAAGGUAACGGCUUACCAAGGCAACGAUGCGUAGCCGACCUGAGAAGGGGAUCGGCCACACUGGAACUGAGACACGGUCCAGACUCCUACGGGAGGCAGCAGUAGGGAAUCUUCCGCAAUGGGCGAAAGCCUGACGGAGCAACGCCGCGUGAGUGAGGAAGGUCUUCGGAUCGUAAAACUCUGUUAUUAGGGAAGAACAAAUGUGUAAGUAACUAUGCACGUCUUGACGGGACCUAAUCAGAAAGCCACGGCUAACUACGG